UUUCUUUCCUUUAAAAUCCAGAACUAUCUUUCUAUAAUUUGCAUUCCCCACACAUGUUUCACUAGAACUUUGAAAUUUUCUAAAACUUUUACUCUCCUAAAGACUCAACUCAUUCCUUUCUUUUUUUUUUCUUUUUUUUCCUUUUCACCAUCCCCACAAAUUCCAAACCCAAGUAGAAUCCAUCAGAGUCCUAUCUUAUCCAAAAAAUGCAAAUCAGAACUACACAAGAUCAUAUUCAUGUCGGCUCAAACCUAAUACAUUCUCUUAAAGCUCAAUCCAUAAAACAGGUCUUCUACUC
rnacentral:lncRNA from 1 species